rnacentral:rRNA from 1 species
AUACGUAGGUGGCAAGCGUUGUUCGGAUUUAUUGGGCGUAAAGCGAGCGCAGGCGGUUUCUUAAGUCUGAUGUGAAAGCCCCCGGCUCAACCGGGGAGGGUCAUUGGAAACUGGGAGACUUGAGUGCAGAAGAGGAGAGUGGAAUUCCAUGUGUAGCGGUGAAAUGCGUAGAUAUAUGGAGGAACACCAGUGGCGAAGGCGACUCUCUGGUCUGUAACUGACGCUGAGGCUCGAAAGCGUGGGGAGCAAACAGGAUUAGAUACCCUGGUAGUCCACGCCGUAAACGAUGAGUGCUAAGUGUUGGAGGGUUUCCGCCCUUCAGUGCUGCAGCUAACGCAUUAAGCACUCCGCCUGGGGAGUACGACCGCAAGGUUGAAACUCAAAUGAAUUGACGGGG